rnacentral:rRNA from 1 species
UACGUAGGGGGCUAGCGUUGUCCGGAAUCAUUGGGCGUAAAGAGCGUGUAGGCGGCCCGGUAAGUCCGCUGUGAAAGUCGGGGGCUCAACCCUCGAAUGCCGGUGGAUACUGUCGGGCUAGAGUGCGGAAGAGGCGAGUGGAAUUCCUGGUGUAGCGGUGAAAUGCGUAGAUAUCAAGCGGAACACCAGUGGCGAAGGCGAGUCCCUGGACAACUCCUGACACUGAGGCACGAAAGCUAGGGGAGCAAACAGG